rnacentral:rRNA from 1 species
CCUACGGGUGGCAGCAGUGAGGAAUAUUGGUCAAUGGACGAGAGUCUGAACCAGCCAAGUAGCGUGAAGGAUGACUGCCCUAUGGGUUGUAAACUUCUUUUAUAUGGGAAUAAAAUGUUCCACGUGUGGGAUUUUGUAUGUACCAUAUGAAUAAGGAUCGGCUAACUCCGUGCCAGCAGCCGCGGUAAUACGGAGGAUCCGAGCGUUAUCCGGAUUUAUUGGGUUUAAAGGGAGCGUAGGUGGAUUGUUAAGUCAGUUGUGAAAGUUUGCGGCUCAACCGUAAAAUUGCAGUUGAAACUGGGUGCCUUGAGUGGGCGAGAAGUACGCGGAAUGCGUGGUGUAGCGGUGAAAUGCAUAGAUAUCACGCAGAACUCCGAUUGCGAAGGCAGCGUACCGGCGCCCAACUGACGCUGAAGCACGAAGGCGUGGGUAUCGAACAGGAUUAGAUACCCCAGUAGUC